UAUAUGUUAAUUAUUGUAAUCAAGAGGGGUUUGAUUAGAGGAGAGGGUUCUAAGGGGGCUCUCUCUCGCUCCAACAUUGAGGGGAGAUGAACGGUAGACACAGCUGCUAGUUCAUGGAUACCCUUAUCCAGGUUAAGGAUGGAUACACAUGUAUCAUCGAGAUCAAGCGGGAUUGUUAAUUGAGUUAGUCAUGGUUACGAUAAUGUAUCCCAAUUUCCGGGCACUGGAAUAAGGGUUUGCAUGAGCUAGGAGAUGAGGUUACCUUGAUCCUUUUGGUAUUGGAGUGAAGGGAGCUCCUCAACUCUCUUCUUCUCAAUUAAGCUCUUCAUUUAGUCUCUUUUUUUUCUUGGGUCCCUUUUUUCCUUUUCCCUUGCUCUUCCAGGAUGGAGAUUACAAAAACUUCCAAUGGAAUUGAUCCCCAUUCCGGAAUAGGGACGACAUAGUUCCUCUUCGGAAUGGAGUAUCGAUGAUCUGGAUCAGAAUUGCUCUCUCAUGCUUUUAUAUGCGGUGUUUCACGGUUUGAUUCGACUAAUCGCCCCUGAAAUCUUAAUUCCUAGUCAGGGCUGAUUGCCCAUCAAGGAGCAACUAUAUAUCACGAUGUCCUUCCCCCGGAACGAGAAGAUUAGAAUGCGCAUUGCAGGAGAGUAGACAAAUUUGGACUCUCAUCGUUGAAGUGCCAGUAGGAAGUAAUAUAUAUCAUAAUGACGAUUAUCAUUAUGUAUAGUCAUGAGAUCAUGGCAAUCGUCUGGAAUGAAUUUCAGAUGCGUCUUCUAUAACCUUUUGUAUAUACCUAGCUAUAUCAAAUAUUGUCAUUUUCAGGAGGAA